rnacentral:lncRNA from 1 species
UAUUGAUACAUAAUGCAUGUUAAAAAUAAAUAAUCACAAAAGGCUAUAUAAAUAUGACGAAAAGUCGAUGACAGUAUACGUCAAUGAGACAGCAACUUAUCGAAUCAAAAACAUAACAAAUGCCAUAUAAUGGUCAACAUAUGACCUCCAACAAUCUACAGAUGUCCAGCUCUUCAUCGCCCUGAGUUAAACGAUUGAAUAGAAGACUAUUAUUAAAGAACCAAUUGAAGAAAUAGAACAUACAAACAAAUAUUUCAAUUGUCAAGAACGUCAACUAUACGCAAAACAUGGUCCACUUGAUAAAAAGAGUGUAUGCAUGUUAUAGCAAAUAGUUAGAGAAAAUGAUCGAAAAUGUUAUCAAGUGUUUUCACAAAAAAAGGUUGAAAACAAAUAUCAAAAUGAUAAAUUUCGACUACAUGGGGAUGUCUGGUCUCCGAAACCAUUAUCAGUGAUCAUGCUUUAUAUCAAACGUUUUUAUAGUGUUCAAAAUGAUCUUUUAGUAUUUAAAGGGAUAAUGGGGAAACUUAAAAUAUUCUUCAAUAACAAUUUAUAAUUUUCGGGCGUCCAAAGAGUUCUUUUUCCUCUGGAUAAACCUUCAUCAUGAACGCUAUAAAUAAAAACAUUUUGACACUUAACUGAUGUAUAAAUAAAUAAUAAUGUUAGGAGGCUCCGAGCUACAGAAGUUUAAAGGCAAAUGGCAUUUUAUUUUGCUUGUCUGAAAAACCAUAUUGGGUGUUUAGUGCUUUG